AGCCCUUCAUGCUGGCGGUGAGGAAGCGAGUGAUCCUGCAGCGAACUUACGCCUCCUCGAGUAUAGAGAAACCCAAUGGGAUAAACCUUUGUUACCAGCAUCACAAGAAGAGAACUUCAAAGCCAUGGAAUCUGGAAAUAAAGUUGUUGAAUGAUGUGACAGAAGAGGAAGGAGGCAUGUACAACCGAUAAACCAACAAACCACACAAUAUAGGUUGAAGUGAGAUUGGAAAGAAAGAAUAUUUCAUCACAGCAUUUGAGGAC
rnacentral:lncRNA from 1 species